AACUCGGUGAUGACACCUGUCCUGAUAGGAAGUGCCGUAUGACACUACACACUCAGUCUCUGCUAGCCUGCCCCCGGCCCCUCGCCAGGGGGGCCGCCAGGCCUCUGCGUUUCUGGGGGAUGAUUUUAGACAGGUCUUCUGAGAGUU
rnacentral:snoRNA from 1 species